AGUCGCAAGUUUGAAAAUGGAAGAAAUUAAUUUUAUACGUUAGUAUGGGUGCGGCUUAAAAUACUAUUUUAAUUUAAAUUUCCAUGGUGCUGCAAGGCUCUGCAAAAGUCUGCUGGACCAUUGGUCUGGCUUAUCAUGGGAACGUGUUUUGGCCGUUGCUUUAACGUCAAAAACACCAAGCCGUAUCGCUCACAGCGAACUAUGUACUUUCAACGAGAUGACAAUGUCGAGCAAUCACCACAACAAGAUCCUAAUCCAUCAAAAGGCCUCCCCAAAAGGUAACAUUGGAAUUGACAGAUGAUACUUUGCCAAGCAAUGAAUAUACCCAAAGGAUACCUAGAAAGCAACAGUCAUCAAGUCCAGUAGUUGUGGAUGUUCCACUGCAGCCCUUGGAUGCUCGUUCCUUAUUGGCUGCUCGAGCUGUGUUACAAACAGUUAGUCAGAGGGAGAAAAGUAUUGCUUCUUCCACCCCACCCAGUUCACUGGACCUUGAGUGGGAACAUGAAGGUUGUCUACCCAUUCAACUGCUACACUAUGCUGGUGUGACAGAAGAUGAUGGCUGUGAGUCUCCUGCAACUAAUGGUCAGAAUGGCAACAGUGCUGCCGGUAGCACAGCUUGGUCACGUAUCUCUACUCCUGAUUCGCUGGAAUGGGAUCCUGUAGAAGCACCACUUGCUGCAGUCAGUGAGAGGCCAGUGGAAGAGCUAGAUGCAGAGACUGAGCAGUUACUUAGCGAGAUAGAACGACUCACUUCUAGAGCUUUAAGAGAAACUGGAGACUGGAGCAGCUGAUCUCCAUUACUGUCUUCAGUUACCAUUGGAUGGGAGCCCUUGUCAUGAGCUUUAAAUAUCUGAACAGCUUGGGUUAAAUAUUUCUUGAAAUUCACUGAGCAGGUGUUCAAAUGUUGUGAGUUAAGAAACAGUCGUAACAUCACCAAUAACAGAUGUCUGUCAGUUUUUCAAAAUAUUUGUGAAUAAGCAAGUUUUGUUCACAUUUUUAUCCAAGGAAAUCUCUGGGCUGACAUUAUAUUCCCAGUACAGAUACAUCCUGAUUUGUGUAUUCUUGUACAUAACAGUUUCCACUCUCAACAUCCUCUAUUUACUCCGAUAUCUGCAGUGCAUUCCAUACCCUGUACCUCACUUUGAUUCAUUUUAGCGGUCUUUAUCUUCCAUGUGGAGACUUUGAUUUAUUUGUACAGCAUAGUAUAUUAUAGCAAGUAGAUAUUAUUUUGCAAUGUUAGCUUGUUAUUUAAUGGGAUAGUUAUAAGUAUAAAUAUCUUCUGUAAAGUGUUUCUGCUUCCCCUCAUGCACACCUUUAAAUGAUAGCAAAUUAACUCUUGAAAGUUAUAUGCUCACAACAGUGAAUCUAUGGAAAAAAAUGUCUUCAGUUUACACAUUUAUUCAUGGCAUUCUCCAUGAACACUGUAAUCACAUAAAUCAGGGUAUAGCUGCACUUUAUUCUCAGUCCACAGAGACAGAAUUUUAUUAUUGCAGGUAGUAAUGAGAAUACUGGGCCUAUUACCUUGGUGAUAGAGCACUUACAUUCUCCUUUGAAUAUCAGUCAGCAGUGACUGUUCUCUCUUUGGUUUUCUUCAGGCUUCCCAGGUAUGUGGUUGAUUUUUUUUUCAAAGGGUCCCAUCAGCCAUUGUGAUUUGUUUUCAUUUUUUUUAUUUUUAAUUAUUAGAGAUAUACACUUCACAAGAACAAAGAAUAAGUUUCCCAUCCCUCCUUAACUCUUCAGUUAACACUCCACUAGAACACAUCUGUCAUCUGAAGUUGGUAUUUGCCACUUUCCCACUGCAUCAGUAUGGGUUUGAUUCCAGGUCAGGUUGUGUGGGAUUUAUGGUGUACAAAUUGGCUGUGGGGCAGA